rnacentral:rRNA from 1 species
GGACCCGCACAAGCGGUGGAGUAUGUGGUUUAAUUCGAUGCAACGCGAAAAACCUUACCAGGGUUUGAAAUAAUUUCAAAACUUCUUGAAAGAGAAGCCUCCUUCGGGAUGGAAUUACAGGUGGUGCAUGGCUGUCGUCAGCUCGUGUUGUGAAAUGUCAAGUUAAGUCUUGUAACGAGCGCAACCCAUGUCUCUUGUUGCUGUUUACAGUGCUUAAGAGAAACUGCCGAUCAACAUCGGAGGAAGGUGUGGAUGAUGUCAAGUCAGCAUGCCCCUUACAUCCUGGGCUACACACGUACUACAAUGGUCGAGACAAAGGGUCGCUAACCUGCGAAGGUAUGCCAAUCUCAUAAACUCGAUCUCAGUUCGGAUUGUACUCUGCAACUCGAGUACAUG